rnacentral:rRNA from 1 species
ACGGGAGGCAGCAGUGGGGAAUAUUGCACAAUGGGGGAAACCCUGAUGUAGCAACGCCACGUGUGGGAAGAAGCAUUUCGGUGUGUAAACCACUGUCGUGAGGGAAUAAUGCUUGGUUUCGGCCAAGUUGAAUGUACCUCGAAAGGAAGCACCGGCAAACUUCGUGCCAGCAGCCGCGGUAAUACGAGGGGUGCAAGCGUUGUUCGGAAUCACUGGGCGUAAAGGGAGCGCAGGCGGAGAUGCAAGCAGUCUGUACAAUACCGGGGCCCAACCCCGGACCUGCAGACUGGACUGUUUCUCUUGGAUAGUUCAGGGGCAAGCGGAAUGCCUGGUGUAGCGGUGGAAUGCGUAGAGAUCAGGAAGAACACCGAUGGCGAAGGCAGCCAGCUGGGGGCUUAUCGACGCUCAUGCUCGAAAGUGCGGGUAGCAAACAGGAUUAGAUACCCUGGUA